rnacentral:rRNA from 1 species
GACAGAGGUCCCGAGCGUUAGGCGGAAUCACUGGGCUUAAAGCGUGUGUAGGCGGAUCGUUAAGUGCCUUGUGAAAUCCCAUGGCUUAACCAUGGAACUGCUUGGCAUACUGGCGAUCUUGAGCCACUUAGGGGCAACCGGAACAAAUGGUGGAGCGGUGAAAUGCGUAGAUAUCAUUUGGAACGCCAAUGGUGAAAACAGGUUGCUGGGAGUGUGCUGACGCUGAGGCGCGAAAGCUAGGGGAGCAAACGGG